rnacentral:rRNA from 1 species
UACAGAGGGUGCAAGCGUUAUUCGGAUUUAUUGGGCGUAAAGAGCGCGUAGGUGGUUUCAUAAGUCUGGUGUGAAAGCCCAGGGCUCAACCCUGGAAGUGCAUUGGAUACUGUGAGACUAGAGUACAGGAGAGGAAAGCGGAAUUCCCGGUGUAGAGGUGAAAUUCGUAGAUAUCGGGAGGAACAACAGUGGCGAAGGCGGCUUUCUGGACUGUUACUGACACUGAGGCGCGAAAGCGUGGGGAGCAAACAGG